GGUUAGGCUUAGUCAAUUUUUGAUUUGAUUAAGAUUUUAUUGAGCCUAAUUAAGCCUAAUUGUGUUGAGUUUAACUUAGUCUAAUUGUGCCUAACCUAUUUUGAUAAAGUUGGUUCAAUUAGAUUGGUUUAAAAUUUCAAACCACCUUUGACUUAUCUCCCUGCGCCACCUCACCCACCUGCACCUAUUUGAAUUCAUGAGAAACAAAUUCUUGUGAAUUUUCUCCCAUGC
rnacentral:lncRNA from 1 species